rnacentral:rRNA from 1 species
AUUGAACGCUGGCGGCAGGCCUAACACAUGCAAGUCGAACGGUAACAGGAAGAAGCUUGCUUCUUUGCUGACGAGUGGCGGACGGGUGAGUAAUGUCUGGGAAACUGCCUGAUGGAGGGGGAUAACUACUGGAAACGGUAGCUAAUACCGCAUAACGUCGCAAAACCAAAGAGGGGGACCUUCGGGCCUCUUGCCAUCGGAUGUGCCCAGAUGGUAUUAGCUAGUAGGUGGGGUAACGGCUCACCUAGUCGACGAUCCCUAGCUGGUCUGAGAGGAUGACCAGCCACACUGGAACUGAGACACGGUCCAGACUCCUACGGGAGGCAGCAGUGGGGAAUAUUGCACAAAGGGCGCAAGCCUGAUGCAGCCAUGCCGCGUGUAUGAAGAAGGCCUUCGGGUUGUAAAGUACUUUCAGCGGGGAGGAAGGGAGUAAAGUUAAUACCUUUGCUCAUUGACGUUACCCGCAGAAGAAGCACCGGCUAACUCCGUG